UGGGGAAUUUUGCACAAGGGGGGAAACCCUGAUGCAGCGACGCCGCGUGAUUUAGAAGGCCUUCGGGUUGUAAAAAUCUUUUCUAUGGGAAGAAAAUGACAGUACCAUAGGAAUAAGGACCGGCUAAUUACGUGCCAGCAGCCGCGGUAAUACGUAAGGUCCGAGCGUUGUCCGGAAUCAUUGGGCGUAAAGGGUACGUAGGCGGGUAAGCAAGUUAGAAGUGAAAUCCUAUAGCUCAACUAUAGUAAGCUUUUAAAACUGCUCAUCUUGAGGUAUGGAAGGGAAAGUGGAAUUCCUAGUGUAGCGGUGAAAUGCGCAGAUAUUAGGAGGAAUACCGGUGGCGAAGGCGACUUUCUGGCCAUAACCUGACGCUGAGGUACGAAAGCGUGGGUAGCAAACAGG
rnacentral:rRNA from 1 species